rnacentral:tRNA from 1 species
GAGGGUAUAGCUUAGUAGUAGAGGGCAUGCCUAGCAUGCAUAAGGUCCUGGGUUCAAUCCCAAGUACCACCA